rnacentral:rRNA from 1 species
AUGAACGCUGGCGGCGUGCCUAAUCCCUGCAAGUCGAGCGAACAGACGAGGAGCUUGCUCCUCUGAUGUUAGCGGCGGACGGGUGAGUAACACGUGGAUAACCUACCUAUAAGACUGGGAUAACUUCGGGAAACCGGAGCUAAUACCGGAUAACAUGUUUAACCGCAUGGUUCAACAGUGAAAGACGGUCUUGCUGUCACUUAUAGAUGGAUCCGCGCCGCAUUAGCUAGUUGGUAAGGUAACGGCUUACCAAGGCAACGAGGCGUAGCCGACCUGAGAGGGUGAUCGGCCACACUGGAACUGAGACACGGUCCAGACUCCUACGGGAGGCAGCAGUAGGGAAUCUUCCGCAAUGGGCGAAAGCCUGACGGAGCAACGCCGCGUGAGUGAAGAAGGUCUUCGGAUCGUAAAACUCUGUUAUUAGGGAAGAACAAAUGUGUAAGUAACUAUGCACGUCUUGACGGUACCUAAUCAGAAAGCCACGGCUAACUACGUG